rnacentral:lncRNA from 1 species
GCUUCAUCUUCAAGAAAGCUGAGUGCAGUUGAGAAGAUCCAACAACAGGCAGAAAAGUGGGACUCGCCUUCAAGAAAACUCAGUGCUGCUGAGAAGGCUGAACAGGAGGAAGAAAAGGUGAGCAGACCCAAGAGCACUAGAAUGGUGGGGAAGGGGGACAGAUCUGGAUAAUUAUUCUAUAAGGUGGGCUACUCAUUUUUGUCACACAAUGAUCACUCCUCAGUAACUAAUUAAAGUCUAAAAUCCUAUAACUACAUUUAUUCCUAUGUUUACUGGUCAGCAUCCAACCCUAACUACCCUCCAACCAAAGUAAGGUAUUGCUUUCUUAGCACACUCUGUGAAACAAAGGUCACUUCUUUCUCCAUAUGGAGAGACUAUUUUUAAAUGUAGAGCUGCAAAGAGAAGUACCAAAACAAUUGAACCAUGGCACCCCAUUUUCCAAACCUUAUUUCAUAUUGCCUAACUAGAUGGUUAUCUGGUUAUUUUAGAACUGAAAAACAAAGGGCAACUGGAUGGGAGGGGAUAACAGGAAGUUACCUAACUUUGUUCCUAUUCAGUACAAGAAGUUACAAAAAGGAAGUCAAAACAUUAAGUUUUCCAAACAAGCUUAUUUCAAUGGCUUUUGCAAGACUUGGUAGAAGACUUCAAAGAGUUUAAUAGUCCAAUAUAUCACAGGCUGAACUUUCACACUGGGCCAAAGUGAUAGGUGUAAGCAUUUUAAGUGGCAUAUAAUUCUUGAUGUCUUGGACUUAGUUCUUCAAUGAUGAGUAAGAGGAAGACAGAUUGAGUGAAUCUGAGGAUGAGAAGCAGUCUCAAAAAUAAAAUGCAAUAUUAUUCAUUGCAGAGGAAUUCACCUAGAAGAAAACUCAGUUUGGUUAAGAAGAUUAUACAACAGCAGGCAGUGAAGUGGGAGUCAUCUACAAGACAACUCAGUGCUGAUAAGAAGAUCCAACAGGAGGAAGAAAAGAAGGAAGAUGAAAUGGAUAACCUAAAGGAUGAGAACAAAAUUCUCCAAGAGGUGCUAAGACGAUGUACAAUACAAUUGGAGUCAGCUACAAUCAAGCUUGAGGCUGUCAAAAAGGAAAAAGAGCAAAAGGAAAAAGAGAGAGAUUCACCUGCAAGGAAGCCCUGUGCUGCUGGGAAGAUGAUGCUACAGAAGGUAGAACAGGAGGAAGAUGAAAUGGGUAAGCUAAAAGAUGAGAAUGAGAUUCUCCAAGAGACCCUGAGACGAUGUACAAUACUAUUGGAGUCAGCUAUAUUCAAGCUUGAGGCUUCUAAGAAGAAGAGACAGCAAAAGGAAAAAAAGGAGGAAGAUAAAAUGGGUAAGCUAAAAAAUGAGAAUGAUAUUCUCCAAGAGGCUCUGAGAAGAUGUACAAUAGAGUUGGAGUCAGCUACAAUCAAGCUUGAGGCUGUAGAGGAGAGAAAGCAAAAGGAAAAAGAGGAGGAAGAGACAUCGACUGAAUCAGAGGAUGAGAAACAGUGUUUCAAGGAUAAGAUGCAAAACUAUCUAUUGAAAAGGGACUCAUGUACAAGAAAACUCAGUUUUGCCGAGAAGACUGCACAGGAAGCAGAAAGUGAGGAAGAUGAAAUGUGUAAGCUAAAGGAAGAGAAUGAGAUUCUCCAAGAGGCCCUGAGACUAUGUACAAUACAGUUGGAGUCAGCUAAAAUCAAGCUUGAGGCUGCUGAGAAGGAGAGAGAGCAAAAGGGAAAAGAGGAGGAAGAGACAUCGACUGAAUCAGAGGAUGAGAAACAGUGUUUCAAGGAUAAGAUGCAAAACUAUCUAUUGAAAACGGACUCAUGUACAAGAAAACUCAGUUUUGCCGAGAAGACUGCACAGGAAGCAGAAAGUGAGGAAGAUGAAAUGUGUAAGCUAAAGGAAGAGAAUGAGAUUCUCCAAGAGGCCCUGAGACGAUUUACAAUACAGUUGGAGUCAGCUACAAUCAAGCUUGAGGCUGCUGAGAAGGAGAGAGAGCAAAAGGGAAAAGAGGAGGAAGAGACAUUGACUGAAUCAGAGGAUGAAAAACAGUGUCUCAAGGAUAAGAUGCAAGACUAUCUAUUGAAAAGGGACUCAUGUACAAGAAAACUCAGUUCUGCUGAGAAGACUGCACAGGAAGCAGAAAGUGAGGAAGAUGAAAUUUGUAACCUAAAAGAUGAGAAUGAGUGUCUUCAAGAGGCCUUGAGAAGAUGUACAAUACAGUUGGAGUCAGCUACCAUCAAGCUUGAUGCUGCUGAGGAGAGAGAGCAAAAGGAAAAAGAGAGAGAUUCACCUCAAAGGAAGUCCUGUGCUGCUGUGAAGAUUAUACCACAGAAGGUAGAAAAGGUGAGUAGAUUGAAGAAUGCCAAAGAGGUGAGGAAGAAGGACAAUUCUAGACAAAAACUCUGUAAUCUGAUCAACCAUCCUGUUUCCAAGAUCUGUCACUGACCCAUAAAUAACUAGGCUAAAAUGCUAUGACCAACCACACUCCUAAUAUUGCCGGUCAUGAUUCAAACAUAGUAAUCCCCCUAACAAGUGAGGAUUGCCUUUCACGUUAAACUCAAUGAGGCCAAAGUCAAUAAUUUCCCCAGGAAUAGAGAAUGCUAUCACAUCAUAACUUUUUUCUAUCAUAUUAACAUCACUGGCUGGCAUAAGAAAUUAAAUGAUAAUUUUAGUGAAUUUGGCUGUUGCCACAGACAACAUGCCAAGACCAGAAGAUGCAACAAAAAAAUUUAGAAAUGCAGAAAUGCAUAAAAUAACUAUAUAGUAUCAUAUAAUAUCAGCAUAAUUCAUCUUUUAAUGCCAGAAAUGUAUAGAAGUACUUUCUUGCAGUUAAAUAAUUAAAAAUUUAAAGUUUGUGAAAAAACGUGAAAGCCAGCAGGUAACACAACAAGCUUAAAAAUGUAAAUAUAUAUUAAAUAUUAUAUUAAAUAAAUAUAAAUUUUAAAAUUUAAAUAUAAUUUAA